AGUUAUCGGAAAAAUGGUCAAAAUCAACAUAAAAUGUGAAGGCUCACCUCUUAUGCCACUAUUCGAAAAU
rnacentral:sRNA from 1 species